rnacentral:lncRNA from 1 species
GGGCCGGAGAGGCCGGCCCGGAUAUCAAGGCACAGUUUUGCUGCCCGCGACGGCUCCGGCCGUCGGAGCCGUUUCGGGAAGGGGGCUGCCGAUCCCACGGGCUUGCGCCGAGCGGGGGCCGGAGGAGCAUCCGUGUCCCCCCAUUCCCGAAUCCUCCCCCCUGAUGGUUGCCCUGCCCCGGCCGUCGCCCGGCUCGGCCCCCGGCAAGGACGACUCCCUCCCGGCUGCGUUUCCAUAGGAAAAUUAAGCUCCGUCGGCCAAAAUGCCGAAGGGGCAAUGGGGAACGGCGCUGGGGGCGGAAGGAAAUGAACCCAAAAGCCCCCCAAUCGCCCCCAAAUCCUCGGGGCGCCGGGAUGGGGUUUGGCACUUGAUUCCUGGCCGAGCCUUCGCGGGAAGGUGGGCUGGGACGGAGCAGAGCAGGCGAGCGGGAGACACUCCCGUCCGGACGCGCCGGCUCGGAGAAGGGCUCUGCCGGCGCCCGACGAGGCAGCGUUACCGGGGUGGGGGGUUUAAAAAGAAACGAAGAAUUAAAUUAAAAAUACUGCUUUCUACCAAUUUCUCUGUAGCUUCCAGUAUGGAGGGGGACGGGACACGGACACGACGCGCUGCGGGGGGGGGGAUUCAUAGUGCUUCACAGAUUAUUAAAAUACAAAUGCUUAAAGUUUCCUAUAUAAAAAUAUACAAAUGCAAAAAUAUAUAUCGAGAGAGAGAGAGAGCGGAAAGGAUCGGCCGGAGGAAUCGCCACGGUCACUUCCUCCCUCCCUGCAGUUCUUUAAAAACAAGGUUGUUGUUUUCUUUUAAAAAAAAAACACAAAACAAAACAAAACGAACCACCUUCGCGCUUCACAGUUUGGCUGGGGUUUCUCCGCCGCCGGCUUCGGCGGGAUCUAGCGCCGCUUUAAGCCCUCUCCCGAGCCGCUUCCGGCUCCGCCGAGCCGAGCCGCUCUUUCGGCAAUGUCGGCCGAGAGCCGGCGUCUCCCUCCCGGCAAAGCCGAAGCCUCCCGGGUGGCCGAGGAAGGGAAGCAAACGGAGGGGGAGCUGGCGUCUCCGAGGGAGAGGGAACUGUUGGCUCUCUGCCGCCCGGGAAGUUUCCUGGUUAUCCUCAGGCAGGAAAAAGGAGGAAAAAAAAAAAAUAUAUAAACCCCUGCGAGGUGACACCCCGAGCUCGAGCCGAGGGCCGCCGCUUCGCCCUGCUGCACGGGCAACCCCGUGCGUCGCUUUUCCGCCUCUGGUCGGACCCGCGGCGGCCAGUGACCUCUCCAAGGCGGAAAAGUAA